rnacentral:rRNA from 1 species
UACGUAGGGGGGCAAGCGUUUGUCCGGAUUUAUUGGGCGUAAAGAGCGUGUAGGCGGCUAGGUAGGUCCGUUGUGAAAACUCGAGGCUCAACCUCGAGACGUCGAUGGAAACCAUCUAGCUAGAGUCCGGAAGAGGAGAGUGGAAUUCCUGGUGUAGCGGUGGAAUGCGCAGAUAUCAGGAGGAACACCAACGGCGAAGGCAGCUCGCUGGGACGGUACUGACGCUGAGGCGCGAAAGCGUGGGGAGCGAACAGG